rnacentral:rRNA from 1 species
GACGAACGCUGGCGGCGUGCCUAAUACAUGCAAGUUGAGCGCUGAAGGUUGGUACUUGUACCAACUGGAUGAGCAGCGAACGGGUGAGUAACGCGUGGGGAAUCUGCCUUUGAGCGGGGGACAACAUUUGGAAACGAAUGCUAAUACCGCAUAAAAACUUUAAACACAAGUUUUAAGUUUGAAAGAUGCAAUUGCAUCACUCAAAGAUGAUCCCGCGUUGUAUUAGCUAGUUGGUGAGGUAAAGGCUCACCAAGGCGAUGAUACAUAGCCGACCUGAGAGGGUGAUCGGCCACAUUGGGACUGAGAACAGGCCCAAACCUCUACGGGAGGCAGCAGUAGGGAAUCUUUGGGAAAGGACGAAAGUCUGACCGAGCAACGGCGGGUGAGUGAAGAAGGUUCUCGGAUCGUAAAAAUCUGUUGGUAGAGAAGAACGUUGGUGGGAGUGGAAAGCUCAUCAAGUGACGGUAACUACCCAGAAAGGGACGGCUAACUACGUG